CCUACGGGUCGCAGCAGUGAGGCAUAUUGGUCAAUGGACGAGAGUCUGAACCAGCCAAGUAGCGUGAAGGAUGACUGCCCUAUGGGUUGUAAACUUCUUUUAUAAAGGAAUAAAACGAGGCACGUGUGCCUUUUUGCAUGUCAUUUAUGAAUAAGGAUCGGCUAACUCCUUGCCAGCAGCCGCGGUAAUACGGAGGAUCCGAGCGUUAUCCGGAUUUAUUGGGUUUAAGGGUUGCGGAGGGUUUUUUUUAGGUCAGCGUUGAAAGUUUGUGGCUCACCCAUAAAAUUGCCGUUGAUACUGGAAGACUUGAGUGUGUUUGAGGUAGGCGGAAUGCGCGGUGUAGCGGUGAAAUGCAUAGAUAUCACGCAGAACCCCGAUUGCGAAGGCAGCUUACUAAGCCAUAACUGACACUGAAGCACGAAAGCGUGGGGAUCAAACAGGAUUAGAUACCCCUGUAGUC
rnacentral:rRNA from 1 species